AACUACAGACGCGAAGCUCAGCCUCUCGGUUUGGGAAUUUUCUUGGAGGCCGAGGCCCUGCGCCUCUGUCUGCACCCAAGGCGACCGCCCAGCUUACCCCCGGCUCUUCUGAGCACAGGGAGGCCUCCCAGCAAAGCCUGAACCCUCUAAGUUUAGCUGCAGGCUUCGAACCCCGACCGUCCCCGCCGAGCCUUGGGCUGCUGAGGUGGGGAUGAACUGGGCGAAAGACACUUGGGAGUUAGGAAGAAACAAACAAGCAGGGAAGUGACCAGGAGACAAGUGAAAGAGAACAGAAAAAUUCAGAGGGCGUCAUUCACGUGUACAACGUGGAGGGUGAAAGAAUGAGCUGGAAGCAGGCAUCAUAAAGCA
rnacentral:lncRNA from 10 species